rnacentral:misc_RNA from 1 species
UCAAACUUGGUCAUUUAGAGGAAGUAAAAGUCGUAACAAGGUUUCCGUAGGUGAACCUGCGGAAGGAUCAUUACCAAUUGUCCACAACUCUAUUAUGGAUAAUUCAAUCCAUAUCCACCCUGUGUGAAUCAUUGAAGUGUUUGUUGGCAGGGUUUAUUGAGCUUGCUCGCCUUGCCAAUUUUAUUCGUAAAACAUGUCUAAAUACCAGUGGUCUGAAUCUUAUAUUUAUAUAAAUAAAUACAACUUUCAACAACGGAUCUCUUGGCUCUCGCAUCGAUGAAGAACGCAGC